rnacentral:rRNA from 1 species
AUUGAACGCUGGCGGCAUGCCUUACACAUGCAAGUCGAACGGCAGCGGGGGAGAAGCUUGCUUUUCCUGCCGGCAAGUGGCGAACGGGUGAGUAAUACAUCGGAACGUGCCCUGUAGUGGGGGAUAACUAGUCGAAAGAUUAGCUAAUACCGCAUACGACCUGAGGGUGAAAGUGGGGGACCGCAAGGCCUCAUGCUAUAGGAGCGGCCGAUGUCUGAUUAGCUAGUUGGUGGGGUAAAGGCCUACCAAGGCGACGAUCAGUAGCUGGUCUGAGAGGACGAUCAGCCACACUGGACUGAGACACGGCCCAGACUCCUACGGGAGGCAGCAGUGGGGAAUUUUGGACAAUGGGCGAAAGCCUGAUCCAGCAAUGCCGCGUGUGUGAAGAAGGCCUUCGGGUUGUAAAGCACUUUUGUCCGGAAAGAAAUGGCUCUGGUUAAUACCUGGGGUCGAUGACGGUACCGGAAGAAUAAGGACCGGCUAACUACGUGCCAGCAGCCGCCGUAA